UACAGAGGUCCCAAGCGUUGUUCGGAUUCAUUGGGCGUAAAGGGUGCGUAGGCGGCGCGGUAAGUCGGGUGUGAAAUCUCGGGGCUUAACUCCGAAACUGCAUUCGAUACUGCCGUGCUUGAGGACUGGAGAGGAGACUGGAAUUUACGGUGUAGCGGUGAAAUGCGUAGAUAUCGGGAGGAACACCAGUGGCGAAGGCGGCUACCUGGCCCACUCUUGACGCUGAGGCGCGAAAGCUAGGGGAGCAAACGGG
rnacentral:rRNA from 1 species